rnacentral:tRNA from 1 species
ACUAAUUAGCUGAGUGGAUAACGUGAUAGCUUUUUAAGCGAAAGGUACUUGAUUCGAGUCCCCGAGUAAACA